AUUGAACGCUGGCGGCAGGCCUAACACAUGCAAGUCGAACGGUAACAGGAAACAGCUUGCUGUUUCGCUGACGAGUGGCGGACGGGUGAGUCAUGUCUGGGAAACUGCCUGAUGGAGGGGGAUAACUACUGGAAACGGUAGCUAAUACCGCAUAACGUCGCAAGACCAAAGAGGGGGACCCUCGGGCCUCUUGCCAUCGGAUGUGCCCAGAUGGGAUUAGCUUGUUGGUGGGGUAACGGCUCACCAAGGCGACGAUCCCUAGCUGGUCUGAGAGGAUGACCAGCCACACUGGAACUGAGACACGGUCCAGACUCCUACGGGAGGCAGCAGUGGGGAAUAUUGCACAAUGGGCGCAAGCCUGAUGCAGCCAUGCCGCGUGUAUGAAGAAGGCCUUCGGGUUGUAAAGUACUUUCAGCGGGGAGGAAGGGAGUAAAGUUAAUACCUUUGCUCAUUGACGUUACCCGCAGAAGAAGCACCGGCUAACUCCGUG
rnacentral:rRNA from 1 species